GUUCAUCUUCAGGGCAGGGUGAAAUUCCCGACCGGCGGUAAAGUCCGCGACCCGCGUUAAGCGGUUGAUUCGGUGAAACUCCGGAACCGACAGUAAAGUCUGGUAUGCAGAAGAUGAGA
rnacentral:ncRNA from 2 species